AGACGGGACCCGCACAAGCGUGGAUGAUGUGGAUUAAUCGAUGCAACGCGAAAACCUUACCUACCCUUGACAUGUCCGGAAUCCUGCAGAGAUGCGGGAGUGCCGAAAGGGAAUCGGAACACAGGUGCUGCAUGGCUGUCGUCAGCUCGUGUCGUGAGAUGUUGGGUUAAGUCCCGCAACGAGCGCAACCCUUAUCAUUAGUUGCUACGCAAGGGCACUCUAAUGAGACUGCCGGUGACAAACCGGAGGAAGGUGGGGAUGACGUCAAGUCCUCAUGGCCCUUAUGGGUAGGGCUUCACACGUCAUACAAUGGUCGGUACAGAGGGUUGCCAAGCCGCGAGGUGGAGCCAAUCCCAGAAAGCCGAUCGUAGUCCGGAUUGUUCUCUGCAACUCGAGAGCAUGAAGUCGGAAUCGCUAGUAAUUGCGGAUCAGCAUGUCGCGGUGAAUACGUUCCCGGGUCUU
rnacentral:rRNA from 1 species